rnacentral:rRNA from 1 species
GACGAACGCUGGCGGCGUGCUUAACACAUGCAAGUCGAACGGAAAGGCCCUGCUUUUGUGGGGUGCUCGAGUGGCGAACGGGUGAGUAACACGUGAGUAACCUGCCCUUGACUUUGGGAUAACUUCAGGAAACUGGGGCUAAUACCGGAUAGGAGCUCCUGCUGCAUGGUGGGGGUUGGAAAGUUUCGGCGGUUGGGGAUGGACUCGCGGCUUAUCAGCUUGGUGGUGGGGUAGUGGCUUACCAAGGCUUUGACGGGUAGCCGGCCUGAGAGGGUGACCGGCCACAUUGGGACUGAGAUACGGCCCAGACUCCUACGGGAGGCAGCAGUGGGGAAGAUUGCACAAUGGGCGGAAGCCUGAUGCAGCAACGCCGCGUGCGGGAUGACGGCCUUCGGGUUGUAAACCGCUUUCGCCUGUGACGAAGCGUGAGUGACGGUAAUGGGUAAAGAAGCACCGGCUAACUACGUG